rnacentral:tRNA from 2 species
GCUGGAGUGGCGGAACUGGCAUACGCGCUGGUCUCAAAAACCAGUGUUCGAAAGGGCAUGUGGGUUCAACUCCCACCUCCAGCA